GGUCAGCGAUGAGUUGUGAACAGUCAGACUCCCCGGCUCCCCUCCCCUAACCCUUGGCCUCCCGUGGGCCUCCGAUAGUGCUGUGAUGGGCGGGGGGGGGGGGGGGGGGGGGGGUGGGUGCUGCUGGCCCUAGGUGAGGCCUCAGUUCUGUGCUCAGUGGCCGGCACCCGACAGCCAGCCACAAAGGGGUUUGAUUGUCGGGGGUGCUGGUGUGUGUGGUUCCCAGCUGACUUUUCAAGCCGAGACC